GACCCUAAAGAUAGUGAAGUAUACCUGGGCAGGGCGAAGCUAGAGGAAACUCUGGUGGAGGUAUGUAGCGGUCCUAAUGUGCAAAUCAAUCAUCGCAGCUAGGCAUAGGGGCAAAAGAUUAAUCAAAUCUUCUAGUAGCUUG
rnacentral:ncRNA from 1 species